rnacentral:rRNA from 1 species
UACGGAGGGUGCGAGCGUUGUCCGGAAUCAUUGGGCGUAAAGCGCGUGUAGGCGGUCCGGUAAGUCCGCUGUGAAAGUCGGGGGCUCAACCCUCGGAUGCCGGUGGAUACUGUCGGGCUUGAGUACGGAAGAGGCGAGUGGAAUUCCUGGUGUAGCGGUGAAAUGCGCAGAUAUCAGGAGGAACACCAAUUGCGAAGGCAGCUCGCUGGGACGUUACUGACGCUGAGACGCGAAAGCGUGGGGAGCAAACAGG